AAAGUAGAUCAGGUGGCUACCCCGAUGUAACGUCGGGGAGGAAAGUCCGGGCUCCAAAGGGCAUGGUGUCUGGCACAUAAAUUUUGGUUUAGCAGUUUCAAAAGCUUUAAUUUAUGUGCCGGACCUGGCAACAGGAGGAAAGUGCCAAAGAAAUCAUACCACUCCGAGGUAACCCGCCUGCUUCACAAGCAGGUGGGUAUCAGAGUAAGGGUGGAAUGGUGUGGUAAGAGCACACCCUUCUCCCGCAUAUUUAUGUGCAAGGGAGGAGAGGUAAACCCCACCAGGAGCAAGGCCAAAUAAGAGGGCACUCUGUAUAUAAAUCUCAAUUUAUAUGCAGAGAGGAAAUUGCCCGUUUCCUUAUGACUCUCGGGUAGGCCGCUUAGAGGAAUUGUCACCGAAUACAGAACUCGGCUUAUGAUCUGCUUUAAGG
rnacentral:RNase_P_RNA from 1 species